AUUGAACGCUGGCGGCAGGCCUAACACAUGCAAGUCGAGCGAGCGGCGGACGGGUGAGUAAUGUAUGGGGACUGCCCGAUAGAGGGGGAUCACUACUGGAAACGGUGGCUAAUACCGCAUACUCUCGGAUAACCCAUAUGGGAUUAGCUAGUUGGGGGGGUAAAGGAUCACCUAGGCGACGCUCUCUAGCUGGUCUGAGAGGAUGAGCAGCCAAACUGGGACUGAGACACGGCCCAGACUCCGACGGAGGGAGCAGUGGGGAAUAUUGCACAAUGGGGGCAAGCAUGAUGCAGCCAUGCCGCGUGGAUGAAGAAGGCCUUAGGGGUGGAAAGUACGUUAAGCGGGGAGGCGUGACCCGCAGAAGAAGCACCGGCUAACUCCGUGCCAGCAGCCGCGGUAAUUC
rnacentral:rRNA from 1 species